GGAGGAAAAGAAACCAACAGGGAUUGCUCUAGUAACGGCGAGUGAAGCAGCAAUAGCUCAAAUUUGAAAUCUGGCGUCUUCGACGUCCGAGUUGUAAUUUGUAGAGGAUGCUUCUGAGUAACCACCGACCUAAGUUCCUUGGAACAGGACGUCAUAGAGGGUGAGAAUCCCGUAUGCGGUCGGAAAGGUGCUCUAUACGUAGCUCCUUCGACGAGUCGAGUUGUUUGGGAAUGCAGCUCUAAAUGGGAGGUAAAUUUCUUCUAAAGCUAAAUAUUGGCCAGAGACCGAUAGCGCACAAGUAGAGUGAUCGAAAGAUGAAAAGCACUUUGGAAAGAGAGUUAAAAAGCACGUGAAAUUGUUAAAAGGGAAGGGAUUGCAACCAGACUUGCUCGCGGUGUUCCGCCGGUCUUCUGACCGGUCUACUCGCCGCGUUGCAGGCCAGCAUCGUCUGGUGCCGCUGGAUAAGACUUGAGGAAUGUAGCUCCCUCGGGAGUGUUAUAGCCUCUUGUGAUGCAGCGAGCGCCGGGCGAGGUCCGCGCU
rnacentral:rRNA from 1 species